CGAAUGCUGACAUAAGUAACGAUAAAGCGGGUGAAAAGCCCGCUCGCCGGAAGACCAAGGGUUCCUGUCCAACGUUAAUCGGGGCAGGGUGAGUCGACCCCUAAGGCGAGGCCGAAAGGCGUAGUCGAUGGGAAACAGGUUAAUAUUCCUGUACUUGGUGUUACUGCGAAGGGGGGACGGAGAAGGCUAUGUUGGCCGGGCGACGGUUGUCCCGGUUUAAGCGUGUAGGCUGGUUUUCCAGGCAAAUCCGGAAAAUCAAGGCUGAGGCGUGAUGACGAGGCACUACGGUGCUGAAGCAACAAAUGCCCUGCUUCCAGGAAAAGCCUCUAAGCAUCAGGUAACAUCAAAUCGUACCCCAAACCGACACAGGUGGUCAGGUAGAGAAUACCAAGGCGCUUGAGAGAACUCGGGUGAAGGAACUAGGCAAAAUGGU
rnacentral:rRNA from 1 species